GUCCACGCGGUAAACGAUGGAUGCUCGCUGUUUGCGUUUUACGUAAGCGGCCAAGCGAAAGCGUUAAGCAUCCCACCUGGGGAGUACGCCGGCAACGGUGAAACUCAAAGGAAUUGACGGGGGCCCGCACAAGCGGAGGAACAUGUGGUUUAAUUCGAUGAUACGCGAGGAACCUUACCCGGGCUUGAAUUGCAGAUGAAUGAUUCAGAGAUGAUGAAGUCCUUCGGGACAUCUGUGAAGGUGCUGCAUGGUUGUCGU
rnacentral:rRNA from 1 species